AGAGAGGUAGCUUGCUACUGAUCUUAGCGGCGGACGGGCGAGUAAUGCUUAGGAAUCUGCCUAUUAGUGGGGGACAACAUUUCGAAAGGAAUGCUAAUACCGCAUACGUCCUACGGGAGAAAGCAGGGGAUCUUCGGACCUUGCGCUAAUAGAUGAGCCUAAGUCGGAUUAGCUAGUUGGUGGGGUAAAGGCCUACCAAGGCGACGAUCUGUAGCGGGUCUGAGAGGAUGAUCCGCCACACUGGGACUGAGACACGGCCCAGACUCCUACGGGAGGCAGCAGUGGGGAAUAUUGGACAAUGGGCGCAAGCCUGAUCCAGCCAUGCCGCGUGUGUGAAGAAGGCCUUAUGGUUGUAAAGCACUUUAAGCGAGGAGGAGGCUACUUUAGUUAAUACCUAGAGAUAGUGGACGUUACUCGCAGAAUAAGCACCGGCUAACUCUGUGCCAGCAGCCGCGGUAAUACAGAGGGUGCAAGCGUUAAUCGGAUUUACUGGGCGUAAAGCGCGCGUAGGCGGCUAAUUAAGUCAAAUGUGAAAUCCCCGAGCUUAACUUGGGAAUUGCAUUCGAUACUGGUUAGCUAGAGUGUGGGAGAGGAUGGUAGAAUUCCAGGUGUAGCGGUGAAAUGCGUAGAGAUCUGGAGGAAUACCGAUGGCGAAGGCAGCCAUCUGGCCUAACACUGACGCUGAGGUGCGAAAGCAUGGGGAGCAAACAGGAUUAGAUACCCUGGUAGUCCAUGCCGUAAACGAUGUCUACUAGCCGUUGGGGCCUUUGAGGCUUUAGUGGCGCAGCUAACGCGAUAAGUAGACCGCCUGGGGAGUACGGUCGCAAGACUAAAACUCAAAUGAAUUGACGGGGGCCCGCACAAGCGGUGGAGCAUGUGGUUUAAUUCGAUGCAACGCGAAGAACCUUACCUGGCCUUGACAUAGUAAGAACUUUCCAGAGAUGGAUUGGUGCCUUCGGGAACUUACAUACAGGUGCUGCAUGGCUGUCGUCAGCUCGUGUCGUGAGAUGUUGGGUUAAGUCCCGCAACGAGCGCAACCCUUUUCCUUAUUUGCCAGCGAGUAAUGUCGGGAACUUUAAGGAUACUGCCAGUGACAAACUGAAGGAAGGCGGGGACGACGUCAAGUCAUCAUGGCCCUUACGGCCAGGGCUACCCACGUGCUACAAUGGUCCG
rnacentral:rRNA from 1 species